GGAACAGCUUCUUCUUCCCCGAUGCUCCAAGAAAGUGCGCAGGCAGCUGUAUCCUCGGAGAUGCCGCCUACCCAUUACUACCUUGGUUAUGAACACCGUACAAGGACACUGGUCGCGAAUUUCCAGGCUGGAAGAAGAAGUACAAUCAUGCACACAGCCAGCAGAGGGUCUCCAUAGAGCAUGCCUUUGGAGUGCUGAAGCAGAGGUUCCGCAGGCUAUAUUAUAUUGACGCUGACAGCAUUGAGCAGGUGUGCCUGAUUGUAAUGGGCGCUUGUGUGCUGCAUAACUUGUGUACAGCCGAAGACGAGCUGGAAGACGUUUGCCAGCUUGAAACGUUGCCCACCCCAGAGAGCAUCGAAGAGGAAGAACAUAAUGCAAGUGAAGCAGCGGCUCGUCACUACGCAGAAGAGAUUCGAAAGCAGAUUGCCCUCACUUUGUAAAUAUGCUGGGUAAAAAAUAUAUUGAGUUUUCACGAA